GAUGAACGCUAGCUACAGGCUUAACACAUGCAAGUCGAGGGGUAACGAGAGGAAAGCUUGCUUUCCUUGUCGACGACCGGCGCACGGGUGAGUAACGCGUGUCCAACCUGCCCCCAACUAGGGAAUAACCUUGCGAAAGUAAGACUAAUACCCUAUGAUUUCCUUUGAUGACAUCAGAUUAGGAAUAAAGAUUUAUCGGUUAUAGAUGGGGAUGCGUCUGAUUAGCUUGCUGGCGGGGUAACGGCCCACCAAGGCAACGAUCAGUAGGGGUUCUGAGAGGAAGGUCCCCCACAUUGGAACUGAGACACGGUCCAAACUCCUACGGGAGGCAGCAGUGAGGAAUAUUGGUCAAUGGGCGAAAGCCUGAACCAGCCAAGUAGCGUGCAGGAUGACGGCCCUAUGGGUUGUAAACUGCUUUUAUACAGGAAUAAAGUUAGCCACGUGUGGUUAUUUGUAGGUACUGUAUGAAUAAGGACCGGCUAAUUCCGUGCCAGCCGCCGCAGUAA
rnacentral:rRNA from 1 species